GCCACGAUCCACUGAGAUUCAGCCC
rnacentral:snRNA from 1 species